CAAAGACUAUCUCCCCGGUGUUCUGAGUCUCAGUCAACUUCGGACCCUACUGAGACUGGAGCUUACUGGACUCUACAGCAGGUGGAAUCACCAUUCCGAGCAGAGCAUUGGAAGACCAUCAACGCCCUCAUGCUGGCAACGUUUUCAGAGGAAGAUGGAGGAGCUGACUAAU